rnacentral:lncRNA from 1 species
UCGUGCGGUGGAAGAAGUUCCACGCAAACCGCGUGCGCAGUUGUUCUGCUCCGCGAAAAGUGCUCGCCCCGCCGUAAAGUUGUGAAGUCCCGCAGGAGGACGCCCGAGGUUCAGGUCCUCAGGAAGCAUCUACCGUGACUGGCCCUCGUCGGGAAGAAAAACCGGCACCGUCCGCCGGCGAGGGCCAAAAAUGACGGACGACGAUAUUUGCACCGAAGGGACGAAUCGGCACCGGAGCCGGCCUGCUGCCUUGGAUCACUGGACGAAACACGCCGGCGCGCGCGGCAUGUUGGGAGUGAACAAUUUCCGCAAGAUCAACACAGGCGGGGUGAAAGUUUGGACGACGGCGGAGGCACGUGGAAUCCGCUUGCUCCGCGGCGGUGCUCGUGAGUGGAAAUGUUGGCCGGUCGGGCCGAGGUGAAGAAUCCCGCGCGGACGCGGGCAAAAAGCAACACGCCACGCGGCAAUUUGCGAUCGAAGGGUGAGCAAGUGAGAGAGCAAGAGGAGGAGGCAAAGUGAGAAGAGCGGGGGAAGGAAAAAGAAGGAGGAAGAAGAAAACGGAAAAGUGCGAGAUGCCGAAAGGGCGUGUGGAGCACGAAGAAGAAGAAGAGAGAGCAAUAAGAAGAGCAUCAGGAAGAUGUUGUACGCACACUCACACACACACUCACACUAACACCAUCAAUCGGUUCAAUACACAUGUUAAAAGACGAAC